GUCCCCAACUCAGUGGUAGAGCAUCUGCUUUGCAUGCAGAAGAUCCCAGGUUCAAUCUCUGGCAUCUACA
rnacentral:tRNA from 1 species